AGAGAAGCCUUGAACCUAAAUUUGAUAAAAAAUUUGCAAGUCUUGAAAUCUUGCUUGUCAAUAUUAUUUGAGUCAGUUAUCUAACUGCAUUUGUAUGAAAUAAUUUGAUAAAACUUUGUGUAUAUAAUGUUUAGGAUUAAAGUGUUAUGUUGUUUUUAUAUUUUUGUAUAUAACUUUCAUGUAAAUUGAUAAUAUUCACUGAUAUUUUUUUGAUUUUAUUAAUAUUCAUUAGUCGUAUUGGUCUUGUUUAACAAUUGUUUUGUUUUCAAAUUCCUAUCGCUAAAUUUGCAAGUUCCACUGUUCAAAUUUGUUAUUGUUAAUUCUAAUUUUGAACCUCAUCUUUUUGUGCAUUUCAGGUAUAUUGGGGCUUGAUAUAUUGAAAUCUUAUCAAAGAGAGAUAACUCUUAAAAUUGGAGCUAUUGGAAAGAACUGCAUUAAUUAUAAUCACUAUAUUUCUUUUAAUAGGACUAUUGAAUGGCUGUUCUUGAUGUUUAUUUUAACUAGACACCAAAGGAGAUUAGCAAAUACUUAUGUAUAAUGCUAGAUCUGUAAUGUACAUGUUUUUAUGCCUUUUUUUCAGAUAGCAUCAUCUAUUAUCAUAGAUAUUUUUCUGUUAUUAUGUUUGUACCACAAAUGAUCAAGAACAAUUAUCUUCACUAAUUUGCUUUAUGCUUUGUACAAGUUUCAGAUCUGUAAAUACUGGUUUGAGAAAAUUUUAUGUUGGAUGUACAGAUAAUAAAGGUAAGUGAAUUGGAAUAUAGAGAUAUUGGUUUGCUGUCUUUGAAGGAUUUUCCAUGGAUAGUGAAUGAACAUUUUAAUCAAAAAUAAGAUAUAUGAUAUCUUGCAUAGUAUUUUUCUCUAUAUGUUUUUGUAAUUUGCCACUUUAAAAAAAAAAAAAUUAAAUUCUUGGAUAAUCAUCUCUGAGAGACAAAAUUAAAUUAAUAAAAAUCUGAAGAGGUUCAAAUGUGCUCAAAAAAAUAAUUGUGAAAAAGUUUAGUACAUUACAAGAUAUUCUUUGAAAAGUUCAAAGGAGAGAAGUUUUUAAAGAUUGAAUGUUUAGUAUAGUUAGCACAAACAUGUGUUUACUUAGAAAGAUGUGCUUAUUACAUGUCAUUAUUAUUUCAUGUUUUAAUGAUUCAGGUAAUAUUUUGUGUUGUCUUAUUUGUGAAUGCUUGUCAUUCUGUAUCGUCUUGGGAAAGUUGGUAUUGCACCUUUAGUACCUCUAUGUGUGAAUGCUGGUCAUUUUGUAUCGUCUUGGGAAAGUUGGUAUUGCACCUUUAGUACCUACUGUGAAUGCUGGUCAUUCAGUCUUUUUUUGUGAAUAUUACCAGUUCAUUAUUUAUUGAUGUAAUAAUCUUCUUUUCAUACAUCAUACAUGUAUACAUUUGUGACCAGAUCUGGCAGAUCAUCAAUUUUCUUUUCAAAAAGAAUUUGCUGAAACAGGACAACAUACCUUUUUUUGUGUUUUAUUCGAAAAAUAAUAAACCUCUUAUUUGGUCCAACAGAUAUUUGGCGCUUUUUAGGUGAUCUUCUGAAAAUGUGGCAAGUUGUAUAAGAUGUGUAUAGUACCAUGUGUUUCAAUUUACAAUGUUCUUGUAGUUCAAUAAAUUGUUCAUCAGA